UUACAGACACGUAUUAUCUUUCCCGGACCUUCUUCUCAUCUUCUCUUUUCUUUUUACCUUAUCUUCUCAUGUAUAGCCAGGUCGGUCUCUUCUUCCACCUUAUUUCACCCGUUGCCUGAGCUCCUCCAUGCCCAAUCCAUGUGUCGUCAACCUUGCUCGCCUCCAUGUUCGCUACUUCUUCCUUGCCGCAGGCCAGCCCACUCGCGCGAUGUUUUACGCCCACCCGGAUGACCCGCCGCUCGCCGCCUUUGUGCUCUCAUGGCUAGCCGGCGACCUAUACGUGUCCUAUAUCCUUCGCACCCUCCUCCCGCGUUGUUCCCCUACAUACAGUCACGCACCAGCGAUACGCCGCCUCCAGGCCCGCGAGGCCGCGCUCGAUGGCUAGGUGGACGCAUUCGUGCUCGGCGCCGAGGGCUUCAACACCUCAGCCUCUCCCACCUCCGCCCGGACUUCAUGGUCUGCAACUUCUUCAAGGUGUUCGGCGAGAACCCAUGGGGCUUCGCGGACCUCUUCAUGAAAAAAGCCAGCCUCGGGGCGCUUGAGCACUGCGCCAUGAAGUAAAGGCUAUCAUAGUGUUAUCUCGGUUCUUGGUGAAUAAAUAUCAAAUAUUGAUUUUGGAACAGGAGUCUAUAGAUGAUCCGGCAAUUCAGGCUGAUUCCAUCUCUCAUGCAACACUAUUGAUGAUCAGAGAUAUUGAGGGUCUUCUAUAAAUACUAUUUUGGUUUUCAGUCCUCUGUCAUGAACUCCUAAUGCAUUACAAACAACUUUGCAUUAAUGUAUUAUAUCUCCUAAUUUUCUGAAUUCCGCAGGUGACAAGGCUUCCACUCGGGAAGCUUUCCGUGGAUGCUUCUGAGAAGGUUCUUGGAUGGGAAAGUUACAAUCUUUCCGUUAACGCAAAGGAUAUCAAACCAAAAAAAAGAGGUGAUUGGCCAAUUCAUAUUCCUUGGUGAUCAUGGUGUCACACUUAUGGGUCAUGAGGCAAUCCUGGUUGUUGCAAUAACAAAAGGAAAACAGAUUAUGUGCUGCCAGCCAUAAAGAGUGCCACUAAGCGGAAUAUAGGUGUGCCCGAUGGCUAAAAAAAGUUUGUGCAAUUUCCUCUCAACUUCAGGGUGUUGUUGGAAAGAGUGCUACUAUGUACAUACUCAGUUAUGGGCAUAUAAUAACUUUUGAGGAUCCCGACUAUUAAAGAAAGAUCAUUUGCGAUGAUGAAGUACAUGUCGUGUUUCGAACUGGCGCUGCUGACAUGUUUAAGAUGAUCAAUAGAUCAAGAUGGGGAUGCAAAAAAAAUUAAGGUGCCCAAUACACUCCUCGAUAAAUCAUAUCUUAGGCAAGGGAUAUCAUAAAUAAAAUGAUUUUGAAUGUUUUCAUGAGCAAAAGGUCUGUUAUGGUGUGAAUGAACAGGGCCUCUUUGAUCUAAUCCAUGCCAUAUUUUGAAUGUUUUCAUGAGCAAAAGGUCUGUUAUGGAGUUCUGUAUUUUGCCUAAACUAUUUAUUGCAGCCCAUGCUAUUAGUCCAUACAAAGUUAUUUAAAUUCCGGUGCAUAGUAUUAUUGAAGUUCCUUAUGAUCAUAUUGUAUUCAAUUUAACAUACAACUAAAGAGUUUGAACUUUGAAAAGAAACUGAGAUAUCACUUUGUUCCAUAAUAUAAGCUGUUUUGGCAAACUAAAAUAGUUUGUCAAAAUGGCUCAUAUUAUGGAACGGAUGGAAUAGUCACUAGUAGAAAAAGGGGCUUCCGUCCAGGCCUUAAGUACCGGUUUCUGUUA